GAAUCUGUCCGUUGGUCGGGCUUAAUUGUCCGUACUGAUAUGAUGGGUUCUUACCUUCUGAAUAACCAGCAUGUCAUUAAUUUGGUGUGUUGGGGAAGCAGGACUAUUACCUUGAAAAAAUUAGAGUGCUCAAAGCAGGCUAGUGCCUGAAUACAUUAGCAUGGAAUAAUAAAAUAGGACGGCAUGGUUCUAUUUUGUUGGUUUCUAGAGUCGCCGUA
rnacentral:rRNA from 1 species